rnacentral:rRNA from 1 species
UACGUAGGGGGGCAAGCGUUGUCCGGAUUUAUUGGGCGUAAAGAGCGUGUAGGCGGUUCGGUAGGUCCGUUGUGAAAACUCGAGCUCAACCUCGAGACGCCGAUGGAAACCCCCGAACCUAGAGUCCGGAAGAGGAGAGUGGAAUUCCCCGGUGUAGCGGUGAAAUGCGCAGAUAUCGGGAAGAACACCCGUGGCUAAGGCGGCUCUCUAGUACGGUACUGACGCUGAGACGCGAAAGCGUGGGGAGCGAACAGG